CAGUAGCGUAUAUUAAAGUUGUUGCAGUUAAAAAGCUCGUAGUUGGAUUUCUGGUGGGAGCGAUCGGUCUGGCGCUUAGCGCGAGUACUUGCAUCGUCUCCGGCCAUCCUUGGGGAGAGUCUGUCUGGCAUUAAGUUGUCGGGCAGAGGAUCCUCAUCGUUUACUGUGAAAAAAUUAGAGUGUUCAAAGCAGGCUUAUGCCGUUGAAUAUAUUAGCAUGGAAUAAUAAGAUAGGACUUUGGUACUAUUUUGUUGGUUUGCGCACCAAAGUAAUGAUUAAUAGGGACAGUUGGGGGUAUUCGUAUUCAGUUGUCAGAGGUGAAAUUCUUGGAUUUACGGAAGACGAACUACUGCGAAAGCAUUUACCAAGGAUGUUUUCAUUAA
rnacentral:rRNA from 1 species